AAAAAAGAUGGGCGCAACGCCCAUCUUUUUUCAACCGUGGUCGCACUCAGGCAGAAAGCCUACGUGCCCAGCGAACUUCGUAAGUUUAGCCAUUU
rnacentral:sRNA from 1 species